rfam:Tilletiaria anomala TBC 951 K437scaffold_35, whole genome shotgun sequence.
GGCAUUCUGGCCGAGUGGUCUAAGGCGUCAGACUUGAAUUUUGCCGUUUACGGCGCGAGAUCUGAUGGGCUCUGCCCGCACAGGUUCGAACCCUGUGAAUGUCG